rnacentral:lncRNA from 1 species
GCUCCUUGCUGCAUGUUCUGUAUACCUUCUGCUUGCUCAUUUUCAUGCCCGGAUCCCCUAUGAAACAAUGAACUCCCACUCUCACAACCAUCAAAUUCUUCUAGCAAGGUGGGACUCUCCAUCUCUAAACGAUCCACAAAAGAUAAACCAUGACUUGUGCUAGGUUUGCAACCAGUAGGAGGGUCUUCUGUUUCGGAGUUGGAGCCUGAGUAGGAUCUGACUCCGCCAUUUGCUUGGACAGUUGAGGAAUCAAAAGAAUCUUGUGAUGAUACAAAUUCUUCCUCCAGGCUGUGACUUUGUGCCCCUACCAUGCUUGCUCUUUCUAUACACCAAGUUUCAGAUUCUCCCUGUGGUUCUGCUGAUCCAUGGUGUGUAAUGGGGCUUUGGUUGUAGAGUGGAUACCUAAACUUGCUGUUCCAUUUGAUGAUGUCAUUUGGGUUUUGCAUGCAGACAUCUGGUUCUUCAACCAUGAUGCCUUUCCUAUGGCUGUCAUGAGCUGCAUUGCUCCUAGACUUCAGAGGAAAUAAUGAAGCUAGAGACAUGAAGGCAGAGCUGCAAGGUGGGAAUGUAGUUGACGAUAUUGUUCAGUUCAUGAAUAGAGAUUAAUUAUCACGGCUCAUCUGCUCUUGAAAUUAAGCUGAAAUGUCAUAUUUACCUUGACAGAUGAUCUGAAACAUUUUGGGUAAGGAAAACUCCUAUUACCGAAUCAACAACCGAUCCCUUCCAUUUUGAAAAACGCCUAUCUCCUGCAAAGAAUGUUAUUUACAUUCAUACAUGCAGGUGACUAUCUAUUUGAUUCACUAAAGAGGGAAUUAAAUUGUAUGUUCAUUCUUGGUACAACAUUGAGGGAUUAGAUGUGUGAUCUGUGAGCUGCAGAACUUGUGACUAUAUUUCACCUAGUUUUUCUCGUUAGAAAGCAUUAGUAAAUGUGUUAAUGAACUUUUGAACAAUUUUGUAACUCAAUUGAAUCUUUCCAGUAGGUUAUUUUAGCAACUCAAAAGCUCAGAGGAAAUGUAGCACACACUGGUUUACAUGUUUAUCUGCUCUGAAGAGGCAGCAUAAACAUUUUGCAGUUCCAUUUUUAUAUUGUCCUGAUAGCAAUACCUGAUUCUGUUUUACUACAAACUUACAUUAGUAGUGGGAAACUUACUGAUGACUUUUUUCUUCCAAGUGAAAUAAUUCUUCUCUCUGAAUUGUGCUUUUGUUUUUCAUGGGUGACAGCGCUUUUGCAUUUGCAACAUUCCAUGUUAUGUCUCUGUGCAUUUGCAAGGGACACGUGCAUAUGUAAACAAACAAACACUUGUACUUCUACAUGUACAAAUGCAAUAUGUCUGCAAUAUGAAUGCUCUGUUUCUUCAGAUAAGUAUAAAGUUGUAUGUUUGUGAGUGGAUGCAGCAUAGCAGGACUAGUUCUCAAGUUGGAGGGCACAAAUAACAUACAUGUCUCUCUCUCUCUCUGCUGUUGAAUUCAGUA